UACGGAAGGCAGCAGUGGGGAAUAUUGCACAAUGGGCGCAAGCCUGAUGCAGCCAUGCCGCGUGUAUGAAAAAGGCCUUCGGGUUGUAAAGUACUUUCAGUCGUGAGGAAAGGUGUUAAGGUUAAUAACCUUAGCAAUUGACGUUAGCGACAGAAGAAGCACCGGCUAACUCCGUGCCAGCAGCCGCGGUAAUACGGAGGGUGCGAGCGUUAAUCGGAAUUACUGGGCGUAAAGGGCACGCAGGCGGUUAAUUAAGUUGGAUGUGAAAUCCCCGGGCUUAACCUGGGAAUGGCAUUCAAGACUGGUUAGCUAGAGUCUUGUAGAGGGGGUAGAAUUCCAUGUGUAGCGGUGAAAUGCGUAGAGAUGUGGAGGAAUACCGGUGGCGAAGGCGGCCCCUGGACAAAGACUGACGCUCAUGUGCGAAAGCGUGGGGAGCAAAACAGGGAUUAGAUACC
rnacentral:rRNA from 1 species